CGAUCCCAUCCCGAACUCGGAAGUGAAACGCAGCUGCGCCGAUGGUAGUGUGGCUCAAGCCAUGCGAGAGUAGGUCAUCGCCAGGG
rnacentral:rRNA from 5 species